UCGGCGCCGGUUCCGCUGGCCUCUCUUGUGCUUACGAGAUUAGCAAAAACCCCAACAUCCGUGUUGCCAUAAUCGAACAAUCUGUUAGCCCUGGUGGAGGUGCAUGGCUUGGUGGCCAACUAUUUUCAGCCAUGGUUGUUCGCAAACCAGCUCACAGGUUCCUCGACGAGCUCGGCAUCCAAUAUGACGAACAAGAAGACUACGUUGUCAUCAAGCAUGCAGCUUUGUUCACAUCAACAAUCAUGAGCAAGCUUUUAGCAAGGCCUAACGUGAAGUUGUUCAAUGCUGUGGCUGCUGAGGAUCUGAUAGUCAAAGGAAACAGGGUUGCCGGUGUGGUAACGAACUGGGCUUUGGUAUCAAUGAACCACGACACACAAUCCUGCAUGGACCCGAACGUGAUGGAGUCUAAGGUUGUGGUCAGUUCUUGUGGACAUGAUGGACCUUUUGGAGCCACUGGGGUCAAGAGAUUGAAGAGCAUUGGAAUGAUUGACAGCGUCCCUGGAAUGAAGGCACUGGAUAUGAACACGGCAGAGGAUGCAAUCGUUAGGCUCACAAGGGAAAUUGUGCCUGGCAUGAUUGUAACAGGAAUGGAAGUUGCAGAGAUUGAUGGUGCCCCAAGAAUGGUAACUAUUAACUUUUUAAUUGUGAUUUGACUUAUUGAUGUGUUAUAAUGAUGAAAUUGUGGAUUUGGUUUUUUC
rnacentral:lncRNA from 1 species